rnacentral:rRNA from 1 species
UAUGUGAUCGUCUCUCGCAUAUCAAUAAGCGGAGGAAAAGAAACUAACAAGGAUUCCCCUAGUAACGGCGAGUGAAGCGGGAAGAGCUCAAAUUUGAAAUCUUAAAGGGUUUCCCUUUACGAAUUGUAGUUUAAAGAAGUGUUUUCUGUUGAGGUUUUGGUAAAAGUUCUUUGGAAUAGGACAUCAUAGAGGGUGAGAAUCCCGUAUUUGACCUUUACUUUCAACUUUGUGAUACACUUUCAAAGAGUCGGAUUGUUUGGGAAUGCAGUCCAAAAUGGGUGGUAAAUUUCAUCUAAAGCUGAAUAUUGGCGAGAGACCGAUAGCGAACAAGUACCGUGAGGGAAAGAUGAAAAGAACUUUGAAAAGAGAGUUAAACAGUACGUGAAAUUGUCAAAAGGGAAGCGUUUGACACCAGUGUUGUUUUUCUGAAAAUCAAUUAAAGAACUGUUUAUGCUAAGUUGUUUAGACUCUAUCAGCUAACUGUUUAGUUUUGAGCUUUUCUUUAAUGCACUUUUCAGUUAACAAGUCAAUAUCAAUUUCUUUUGCUGUAAAAAAGCUUGAGGAAGGUGGCUUGAGAUUCGUCUUAAGUGUUUAUAGCCUCUUGCCUAUGCAGUCGGAGAGAUUGAGGUCUGCAGCGUAGAUCCUUCGGGGCUAAAUGCAUUUGUGCUAAGUUAUAGCAUUUUAUAGACAACUUGUUGACUAUGAUUUGUCUUGUAGCUUACUCGCUUAUGUUAUUUUACCUACGCUUAGGAUGUUGACACACGCGCGUGCUCG